UGAGAUAUUUUGGUAGGGGACCCAGUG
rnacentral:piRNA from 1 species